rnacentral:rRNA from 1 species
CAGCACCUCAAGUGGUCAGGAUGAUUAUUGGGCCUAAAGCAUCCGUAGCCGGCGCUGUAAGUUUUCGGUUAAAUCUGUACGCUCAACGUACAGGCGGCCGGGCAUACUGCAGCGCUAGGGAGUGGGAGAGGUAGACGGUACUCGGUAGGAAGGGGUAAAAUCCUUUGAUCUAUUGAUGACCACCUGUGGCGAAGGCGGUCUACCAGAACACGUCCGACGGUGAGGGAUGAAAGCUGGGGGAGCAAACCGGAUUAGAGACCCGAGUAGUCC